rnacentral:rRNA from 1 species
AGUCGUACGCUUCUUUUUCCACCGGAGCUUGCUCCACCGGAAAAAGAGGAGUGGCGAACGGGUGAGUAACACGUGGGUAACCUGCCCAUCAGAAGGGGAUAACACUUGGAAACAGGUGCUAAUACCGUAUAACAAUCGAAACCGCAUGGUUUUGAUUUGAAAGGCGCUUUCGGGUGUCGCUGAUGGAUGGACCCGCGGUGCAUUAGCUAGUUGGUGAGGUAACGGCUCACCAAGGCCACGAUGCAUAGCCGACCUGAGAGGGUGACCGGCCACAUUGGGACUGAGACACGGCCCAAACUCCUACGGGAGGCAGCAGUAGGGAAUCUUCGGCAAUGGACGAAAGUCUGACCGAGCAACGCCGCGUGAGUGAAGAAGGUUUUCGGAUCGUAAAACUCUGUUGUUAGAGAAGAACAAGGAUGAGAGUAACUGUUCAUCCCUUGACGGUAUCUAACCAGAAAGCCACGGCUAACUACGUGCCAGCAGCCGCGGUAAUACGUAGGUGGCAAGCGUUGUCCGGAUUUAUUGGGCGUAAAGCGAGCGCAGGCGGUUUCUUAAGUCUGAUGUGAAAGCCCCCGGCUCAACCGGGGAGGGUCAUUGGAAACUGGGAGACUUGAGUGCAGAAGAGGAGAGUGGAAUUCCAUGUGUAGCGGUGAAAUGCGUAGAUAUAUGGAGGAACACCAGUGGCGAA